AUUGAAAACUGUUGUUAUACACCACAUUAUCCAUGAAAUCCACUUUUCGCAGAAACCCAUUUUCCUUAAUAAUUCCUCAAUGAAUUUCCAUUCCACCAUGUCGUAAGCUUUAC
rnacentral:sRNA from 1 species